rnacentral:rRNA from 1 species
CGGCGGACGGGUGAGUAAUGUAUGGGGAUCUGCCUGAUGGCGGGGGAUAACUACUGGAAACGGUAGCUAAUACCGCAUAAUGUCUACGGACCAAAGCGGGGGACCUCCGGGCCUCGCGCCAUCAGAUGAACCCAUAUGGGAUUAGCUUGUAGGUAAGGUAACGGCUUACCUAGGCGACGAUCCCUAGCUGGUCUGAGAGGAUGAUCAGCCACACUGGGACUGAGACACGGCCCAG